CCUACGGGAGGCAGCAGUGAGGAAUAUUGGACAAUGGUCGAAAGACUGAUCCAGCCAUGCCGCGUGCAGGAAGACGGCCCUAUGGGUUGUAAACUGCUUUUGUUUGGGAAGAAACCUUUCUACGUGUAGAAAGCUGACGGUACCAUACGAAUAAGCACCGGCUAACUCCGUGCCAGCAGCCGCGGUAAUACGGAGGGUGCAAGCGUUAUCCGGAUUUAUUGGGUUUAAAGGGUCCGUAGGCGGACUUAUAAGUCAGUGGUGAAAUCCUGCAGCUCAACUGUAGAACUGCCAUUGAUACUGUAAGUCUUGAAUUCGGUUGAAGUGGGCGGAAUAUGGCAUGUAGCGGUGAAAUGCUUAGAUAUGCCAUAGAACACCGAUUGCGUAGGCAGCUCACUAAGCCUGGAUUGACGCUGAGGGACGAAAGCGUGGGUAGCGAACAGGAUUAGAUACCCUGGUAGUCCACGACGUAACGAUAGAUACUCGACAUAGCGAUACUACGUA
rnacentral:rRNA from 1 species